rnacentral:rRNA from 1 species
GCCUACGGGGGGCAGCAGUGGGGAAUAUUGGACAAUGGGCGAAAGCCUGAUCCAGCAAUGCCGCGUGAGUGAAGAAGGCCUUCGGGUUGUAAAGCUCUUUUACCCGGGAAGAUAAUGACUGUACCGGGAGAAUAAGCCCCGGCUAACUCCGUGCCAGCAGCCGCGGUAAUACGGAGGGGGCUAGCGUUGUUCGGAAUUACUGGGCGUAAAGCGUACGUAGGCGGCCAUUCAAGUCAGAGGUGAAAGCCCGGGGCUCAACUCCGGAACUGCCUUUGAAACUAGGUGGCUUGAACACGGGAGAGGUGAGUGGAAUUCCGAGUGUAGAGGUGAAAUUCGUAGAUAUUCGGAAGAACACCAGUGGCGAAGGCGGCUCACUGGACCGUUGUUGACGCUGAGGUACGAAAGCGUGGGGAGCAAACAGGAUUAGAUACCCCGGUAGG